rnacentral:rRNA from 1 species
CAGUAGCCGCGGGAAAACGGAGGGUGCAAGCGUUAAUCGGAAUUACUGGGCGUAAAGCGCACGCAGGCGGUCUGACAAGUCAGAUGUGAAAUCCCCGGGCUUAACCUGGGAACUGCAUUUGAAACUGUCAGGCUGGAGUCUUGUAGAGGGGGGUAGAAUUCCAGGUGUAGCGGUGAAAUGCGUAGAGAUCUGGAGGAAUACCGGUGGCGAAGGCGGCCCCCUGGACAAAGACUGACGCUCAGGUGCGAAAGCGUGGGGAGCAAACAGGAUUAGAUACCCGCGUAGUCCCUGUCUCUUAUAC